UUACUGGAUGGUCUAGGGGGCCUACAAGCUUACCGAAAUCAGCCAAGCUCCGAAUGCCGGUAGGUUAGAGCGCGGCAGUGAGACUGUGGGGGAUAAGCUCCAUGGUCGAGAGGGAAACAACCCAGAUCACCAGCUAAGGUCCCUGAGCGUGUGCUAAGUGGGAAAGAAUGUGGGGUCGCACAGACAACCAGGAGGUGGCUUAGAAGCAGCCACCCUUUAAAGAGUGCGUAAUAGCUCACUGGUCAAGUGGUCCUGCGCCGACAAUGUAACGGGGCUCAAGCACACCACCGAAGCUGUGACAUUCAUGCAAUAGUCCGCCGACAUCCUACGGGGUGCCGGCCAGACGUGUGGAUGGGUAGGGGAGCGUCGUGUGCCGGAGGAAGCGGCGGGGGAACCCAGCCGUGGACGGCACACGAGUGAGAAUGCAGGCAUGAGUAGCGAAAGAAGAGUGAGAAACUCUUCCGCCGAAUGACCAAGGGUUCCUGGGGCAGGCUAAUCCGCCCAGGGUAAGUCGGGACCUAAGGCGAGGCCGACAGGCGUAGUCGAUGGACAACGGGUUGAUAUUCCCGUACCCGCGAAUGAACGCCCAUGCUGAACCUGGUAAUGCUAAGCGCCCAAAGUCGCGGAGUCCUUCGGGACGAUGUGAUGGAGCGCGUGACCCGAACCAGUAUUAGGUAAGCGAUGGGGUGACGCAGGAAGGUAGUCAUACCGGUCAGUGGUAACACCGGAGCAACGCAGUAGGGCGUGAUGUAGGCAAAUCCGCAUCACACUAAGCCUGAGAGCGGACGCAUAGCCGAAUGAGGCGAAUUUGAUGAUCCUAUGCUGCCAAGAAAAGCCUCUAGCGAGUUCAUAGCGGCCCGUACCCCAAACCGACACAGGUGGUCAGGUAGAGAAUACCAAGGCGAUCGGGUGAUCUAUGGUUAAGGAACUCGGCAAAAUACCCCCGUAACUUCGGGAGAAGGGGGACCAGGCGACGUGUAGGGACUUGCUCCCGAAGCGUUGUGUGGCCGCAGAGACCAGCGAGAAGCGACUGUUUACUAAAAACACAGGUCCGUGCGAAGUCGCAAGACGAUGUAUACGGACUGACGCCUCCCCGGUGCUGGAAGGUUAAGAGGACGGGUCAGCCGUAAGGCGGAGCUCAGAAUUUAAGCCCCAGUAAACGGCGGUGGUAACUAUAACCAUCCUAAGGUAGCGAAAUUCCUUGUCGGGUAAGUUCCGACCUGCACGAAUGGCGUAACGACUUCUCGACUGUCUCAACCAUAGGCCCGGCGAAAUUGCACUACGAGUAAAGAUGCUCGUUACGCGCGGCAGGACGGAAAGACCCCGGGACCUUUACUAUAGCUUGAUAUUGGUGCCC
rnacentral:rRNA from 1 species